UACGAAGGGGGCUAGCGUUGCUCGGAAUUACUGGGCGUAAAGCGUACGUAGGCGGUUAUUCAAGUCAGAGGUGAAAGCCCGGGGCUCAACCCCGGAACUGCCUUUGAAACUAGAUAGCUAGAGUCUUGGAGAGGUUAGUGGAAUUCCGAGUGUAGAGGUGAAAUUCGUAGAUAUUCGGAAGAACACCAGUGGCGAAGGCGACUAACUGGACAAGUACUGACGCUGAGGUACGAAAGCGUGGGGAGCAAACAGG
rnacentral:rRNA from 1 species